CACUAGCGUAUAUUAAAAUUGUUGCAGUUAAAAGCUCGUAGUUGGACAUUUGGUCUUGAACCCUCCCGUCCCGGAGAGAUUUGAGGUCCUUCCUUUGGUUGGAACUCGUCUCAGGUAGGCCGGAUGUGGGGUCGACCAUUUCCUCUCGCACUAAUCUUUCCGGAGGGGUGAAAGUCUCUUUGAUGGAAGGAGCGAUAGAGGCAUUACUUUGAAGAAAGGAAAGUGUUUAAAGCAGGUAUUCGUCGUGAAUCUAGUAGCAUGGAAUAAUAAUAUAGGACCUCUGUUCUAUUUUGUUGGUUUAUUGAAUGAAGGUAAUGAUUGAUAGGGAUAGUUGGGGGUGCUAGUAUUCAAUGGCCAGAGGUGAAAUUCUAUGACCCAUUGAAGACUGACUACUGCGAAAGCAUUCACCAAGGAUAUCUUCUUUAAUCAAGAACGAAAGUUGGGGGAUCGAAGAUGAUCAGAUACCGU
rnacentral:rRNA from 1 species